CUCAUUUUGUAGCAGCAGGAGAGGAGCCCCCUGCCGCCCCCCCGGCCUGCUGCGCGCCCCGCUGAGACGGGCAGAGUUCGGGGGUAACUUGCACCUGGCCGCCCUGGAAUAGAGACUCUCCGGACCGGAUCGGUUGGGGUUUGUUGUCUAUGUCUUGUUGGGAAAUCUGGUGGAUUUUUUUCUCACUGGUGGAGGAAGAGCCCCGUUGGCUUCUUGAUCUUUCUUGGAGGGCGAAGGAAGGGAAGGGAUCUCGCUUGAGCCGUGCGGAGAGAGAGCUCGGACAUGUGUUGUCAGCACAUCUGGGGAAUACAGUCUGCAACUCCGAAAGGAAAUUUGCUGGGAUCGUUCAAACUGCGAUAUUGAUCUUUGUUAUUUUUUUUCGCCAAGGGAUGCACUUGGCAUGAGAAUCGGAGGAUGGAAAUUGUUUGGGAGGUGCUUUUCCUUCUGCAAGCGAAUUUCAUCGUCUGCAUUUCAGCUCAACAAAAUUCACCAAAAAUCCAUGAGGGCUGGUGGGCUUAUAAGGAAGUGGUCCAGGGAAGCUUUGUUCCAGGAUGAUGUUGAUGGGAUUAUGCCCUAGCACAGACCAGCUGGCAGAGCUACAUUGACCCAGGAGGAAUCCACUGCAGUGUUUGUGCAGCACUG